AAUAAUUGGAAAGUGGAGAAUUCUUCAUGUCUCAGAAAAAGAAAUCAGCAAAGACAUGGCAAGAGAAGCAGGAUAAGCAGGCACAGAAAACUGCAGGAAACAAAAGAAAAAGAGAAGCUGCAUUUAUUCCCCCAGAGUAGCCAAGAAAACAGGAUACAAAGUCUGAGGAUGAUAAUAAAGAUGUGGCAGCCAUGGCCAUGUCUCUAAAAAAAAAGGCAAAGGACUUUGGGAAGCAAAAAUUGAGUGAGAAUAUCAAUGCUUUUUGCCACGGUCAUGGGUUCUUGCACUGGUAAUUUCCUCUUAAUUCAGUAUUUCUUAAUUCAGGAUUUGGACUUUGAUUUUCAUGAAUGAAAGGCUUCUAUGAUAUUUUGACAUGAGGAUAGUUAAUAAUUGACAAUAUAGAUUUUUAUUUUGAAAAAUUGAAACAAUUGCAUGUUAAUAGAUUAUUAUCCCCAAGCUAUAUUCAAAUGUUAAAAUGAGAUUUUCAGUAAAAGGGAGGCUGGAUGAAAUUAGACCUCAGCAAUAUAGCCGAACCUUUAUUCAAUCAUGGAUCCUACAAGGAGGGCAAAAUUGGAUGAAUCAAAGAAGCGGUUUGUUCACCAACUGACCCUGAGUACUCCGUUUGUAGUGAGCAACUACCUUCCUGAGUCAGUCUCAUUGACAAUAGAAAGUGGUGGGGUUACUUGUACUGCAAUUCUUUCAGAGGUGGAAACUUCCCUUCAUCAUAUUGGUCCUUCACAUGACCUGGGUCUGGAAAUCCAUGUGCAACCAUGAUCAGAUUUUAAGUUCCCUCGUACUGAAAAAUUCUGAGCAAUGGCUAAGUUCAGUGGGACCAAGUUUUCACUGUCUGAAAUCGUGGCCUUUUAUCCAGAUUUGUCAAAUGGUCCAACACAUGACAGAAGAAACUCUAAAGAUGGCUGGUCCAUCACUUAUCCGAAAUGAGAUAGGAAGUGUUUCACUUAAUUCAUUCUCAAUGGUGGCUCUGAUGGCUAUAGUAUGUAGUCCUGAGAGUUUGCCACAAAUGUCAUUUUGUACCUCAUUUAAUGUAGAAUGCUAAAGCUAAACUAGUGCCUUGUUUUUCUAAUAACAAGUGAGAUUAGUUUUCUUGUA